rfam:Schistosoma margrebowiei strain Zambia genome assembly, scaffold: SMRZ_contig0000091
AUCCAACCGAUAAGUCCUAAAUAGAACGAAAUGCACAUCCUGGAU